CCCCUCUCAGGAUCUCACCCGCAGAGUUUCCAGUACUCUGCCAGUCUCGGUUGUGGGAGGAAGAGUCAAGCAGAGGCAUGCCCAUUCCAUUCCUAGCUUGGCCAGUGGCUAGUGAGUGGAAGGCAAUCUGCUACAAGU